rnacentral:rRNA from 1 species
CAAACGACUCUCGGCAACGGAUAUCUCGGCUCUUGCAUCGAUGAAGAACGUAGCGAAAUGCGAUACUUGGUGUGAAUUGCAGAAUCCCGUGAACCAUCGAGUCUUUGAACGCAAGUUGCGCCCGAGUCCAUUAGGUCGAGGGCACGUCUGCCUGGGCGUCACGC